AGUGAACGCUGGCGGUAGGCCUAACACAUGCCAGUCGAACGGCAGCACAGUAAGAGCUUGCUCUUACGGGUGGCGAGUGGCGGACGGGUGAGGAAUACAUCGGAAUCUACUUUUUCGUGGGGGAUAACGUAGGGAAACUUACGCUAAUACCGCAUACGACCUACGGGUGAAAGCAGGGGAUCUUCGGACCUUGCGCGAUUGAAUGAGCCGAUGUCGGAUUAGCUAGUUGGCGGGGUAAAGGCCCACCAAGGCGACGAUCCGUAGCUGAUCUGAGAGGAUGAUCAGCCACACUGGAACUGAGACACGGUCCAGACUCCUACGGGAGGCAGCAGUGGGGAAUAUUGGACAAUGGGCGCAAGCCUGAUCCAGCCAUACCGCGUGGGUGAAGAAGGCCUUCGGGUUGUAAAGCCCUUUUGUUGGGAAAGAAAAGCAGCAGGUUAAUACCCCGCUGUUCUGACGGUACCCAAAGAAUAAGCACCGGCUAACUUCGUG
rnacentral:rRNA from 1 species